AGUGAACGCUGGCGGUAGGCCUAACACAUGCAAGUCGAACGGCAGCACAGUAAGAGCUUGCUCUUACGGGUGGCGAGUGGCGGACGGGUGAGGAAUACAUCGGAAUCUACUUUUUCGUGGGGGAUAACGUAGGGAAACUUACGCUAAUACCGCAUACGACCUACGGGUGAAAGCAGGGGAUCUUCGGACCUUGCGCGAUUGAAUGAGCCGAUGUCGGAUUAGCUAGUUGGCGGGGGAAAGGCCCACCAAGGCGACGAUCCGUAGCUGGUCUGAGAGGAUGAUCAGCCACACUGGAACUGGGACACGGUCCAGACUCCUACGGGUGGCAGCAGUGGGGAAUAUUGGACAAUGGGCGCAAGCCUGAUCCAGCCAUACCGCGUGGGUGAAGAAGGCCUUCGGGUUGUAAAGCCCUUUUGUUGGGAAAGAAAAGCAGCAGGUUAAUACCCCGCUGUUCUGACGGUACCCAAAGAAUAAGCACCGGCUAACUUCGUG
rnacentral:rRNA from 1 species